UACGGGGGGGGCAAGCGUUGUUCGGAAUUACUGGGCGUAAAGGGUGCGUAGGUGGCCGGGUAAGUCCGAUGUGAAAUCUCCGAGCUUAACUCGGAAACUGCAUCGGAUACUAUUCGGCUUGAGGGUUGGAGGGGGGACUGGAAUUCUCGGUGUAGCAGUGAAAUGCGUAGAUAUCGAGAGGAACACCAGUGGCGAAGGCGAGUCCCUGGACAACUCCUGACACUGAGGCACGAAAGCUAGGGGAGCAAACAGG
rnacentral:rRNA from 1 species